rnacentral:rRNA from 1 species
CUACGGGGUGCAGCAGUGGGGAAUAUUGCGCAAUGGACGAAAGUCUGACGCAGCGACGCCGCGUGGAGGAUGAAGGUUUUCGGAUCGUAAACUCCUGUCAAGAGGGAAGAAACCUAUUAGGAAUAAUACUCCUAGUAAUUGACGGUACCUCUAGAGGAAGCACCGGCUAAUUCAGUGCCAGCAGCCGCGGUAAUACUGAAGGUGCAAGCGUUAAUCGGAAUCACUGGGCGUAAAGCGCUCGUAGGUGGCUUUGUAAGUCAGAUGUGAAAGCCCACGGCUCAACCGUGGAAUUGCAUUUGAUACUGCAUCGCUAGAGUAUAGGAGAGGGAAGUGGAAUUUCUGGUGUAGGAGUGAAAUCCGUAGAGAUCAGAAGGAACACCGGUGGCGAAGGCGACUUCCUGGACUAUUACUGACACUGAGGAGCGAAAGCGUGGGGAGCAAACAGGAUUAGAUACCCUAGUAGUC